CCUCCUCGCCGUGGAUACCUAAACAUGGUGGCGCACACGGAGCUCUCAGACCAGGUCCCGCAGGAAAAAAUACUAAAUCAGCAGGGUUAUUCAUCAUGUAGCAAAGGAAAUACAGCAGUAACCAACAUCCAAGAGCCAGAGGAAAAGAUCCGCCAUCAGAAUGGCUCAGUUGCCUGUGUAUCCACGGAGGUCCCUGCCUCUACCGCAGAGGGGAGCUCGUCGCCAGCAAAGAAGUUCGUCCACAAGAAAGAGGAAGACUGCUCCCUCUUCGUGGCCUUCUUCACCUUCCUCUCCUACGGCGUGCUCCUCCUCGUGGGAUAUGUGAAGGAGUUCUUUAAUCCUCCUUCUACCAAAGAAAAGAACAGAGAGGACAUCGAGGAGUGUUCACCCUUCACGAACUUCACCAUCUAUCUGUCUUAUGGAGUGCUGUUCCUGGUGGGCUACAUCAAGGAAUUCUUCUAUCCACCAUCGACCAAAGAAACGAACCGAGAGGGUUAUGUACCUCUUUACAUUGGGUUUGAGAGCUUCUACACUCGGAAUGUCUACCGGAGAAUUCAAGACUGCUGGAACCGCACCAUCUGUAGCGUUCCUGGCGCCAUCAUAGAUCUUAUGGAACGUACUACACCUGAUUAUGGCUGGACGAUGAAACUGACAGGCAAAAUCAUUAAAUGUAUAAAUGUGGGCUCAUAUAACUACCUAGGAUUUGCAGAAAAUGUCGGCCCUUGCCAUGACGCUGCAGAAGAAACAACGAAAGCUUUAGGCGUCACCAUUUGCAGUCCUCGUCUUGAACUCGGAAACAUGGAAAUCCACCAGAAACUUGAGUCAUUGGUCGCUGAAUUCCUAGGCGUUGACGAUGCCAUCACCUUUGGGAUGGGUUUCGCCACCAAUGUGCUCAAUCUCCCUUCCAUCCUUGGCCCAGGCUGCCUUGUCUUUUCCGAUGAAUUCAAUCAUGCAUCUCUCAUCCUCGGACUCCGGCUCUCCGGAGCAACUGUGAAAGUGUUCCGCCACAACGACGCACAAGACCUGGAGAAGAAGCUGCGCGAGGCAAUAAUCUAUGGUCACCCGCGAACCCGCCGCCCAUGGAAGAAGGCAAUGAUCGUUGUGGAGGGUAUUUACUCCAUGGAAGGCUCUAUCUGUGAUCUCCCAAAUUUUGUCAGAAUAAAAAAGAAGUACAAGACUUACCUCUACGUCGAUGAAGCUCACAGCAUUGGUGCCUUAGGUCCUCACGGUGGUGGUGUUGUGGAUUACUUUGGAGUGGACCCCAAGGAUGUUGAUAUCCACAUGGGGACAUUCACCAAGAGUUUUGGUGCCGCUGGAGGAUACAUUGCCGGAUCAAAGGAUUUGAUAAAUCACUUGAGAGUCACUAGUCAUGCUCAGAUCUAUGCAGCCUCGAUGGCCCCUCCAGUCGCGGAGCAAAUCAUCACGUCCAUGUCCAUCAUCAUGGGCAAACAAGGAAAUGGCGAAGGUGAACGGAGGCUAAAUCAGCUUGCUAGAAAUACGCAUUACUUCCGUCGGAGAGUAAAGCAUAUGGGGUUCAUUGUGUACGGCAAUGAGGAUUCCCCCGUGGUCCCUGUGUUACUAUACCUUCCAGCCGUCACAGCGUCGCAGGCGCAUCCAACAACUGUCUCGCAAUGUGAAGUAUUUCCGCCACCGGCUGAGACAGAUGGGUUUCAUUGUUUAUGGCCAUGAUGAUUCUCCCGUCGUACCAAUGCUUUUGUACCUGAUCCCCAAAAUUGCGAUGUUUGUAAGAGAGCUGACCAACCGUGGAGUAGCUGGUGUGGGGGUUGGUUUCCCUGCCACAAAGAUCACUGGAGGCAGAAUGAGGUUCUGUUUGUCAGCUGCACACACAAAGGAAAUGCUUGAUAAGAUCUUAGUUGAGGUGGAGG
rnacentral:misc_RNA from 1 species